UACGGAGGUUCCAAGCGUUGUUCGGAAUUACUGGGCGUAAAGGGAGCGCAGGCGGGCGGCCGAGUCUAAAGUGGAAGCCCGGGGCUUAACCCCGGAAGUGCUUUGGAUACCAGCCGUCUUGAGUUCGCAAGAGGAAGGCGGAAUUCAGGGUGUAGCGGUGAAAUGCUUAGAUAUCCUGAGGAACACCGGUGGCGAAAGCGGCCUUCUGGUGCGAAACUGACGCUGAGGCUCGAAAGCGUGGGGAGCAAACGGG
rnacentral:rRNA from 1 species